UACGUAGGGGGCAAGCGUUAUCCGGAUUCAUUGGGCGUAAAGAGCGCGUAGGCGGCUUGUUAAGCGAGAUGUGAAAUCCGGGGGCUCAACCCGCGGCUUGCAUCUCGAACUGGCAGGCUUGAGUCUGGUAGAGGAGUGUGGAAUUCCCAGUGUAGCGGUGAAAUGCGCAGAUAUUGGGAGGAACACCAGUGGCGAAGGCGGCACUCUGGGCCACGACUGACGCUGAGGCGCGAAAGCUAGGGGAGCGAAC
rnacentral:rRNA from 1 species